rnacentral:rRNA from 1 species
CCGUUCAAUACUGCGGAGCUCGAGGGCAGAAGAGGGGGGUGGAAUUGCUGGUGUAGUGGUGAAAUGCGUAGAUAUCAGCAGGAACACCUGUGGCGAAAGCGGCCCCCUGGUCUGCUCCUGGCACUCAGACGCGAAAGCUAGGGGAGUGAACGGGAUUAGAAACCCCGGUAAUCCUAGCCGUAAACGAUGGAUGCUAGGUGUGGGUGGUAUUGACCCCAUCCGUGCCGAAGCCAACGCGUUAAGCAUCCCGCCUGGGGACUACGGCCGCAAGGUUAAAACUCAAAGGAAUUGACGGGGACCCGCACAAGCAGCGGAGCGUGUGGUUUAAUUCGAUGCUACACGAAGAACCUUACCCAGGUUUGACAUGCAGGUAGUAGUGAAGCGAAAGCGGAACGAUCCUUCGGGAAGCCUGCACAGGUGCUGCAUGGCUGUCGUCAGCUCGUGCCGUGAGGUGUUUGGUUAAGUCCACUAACGAGCGCAACCCCUGUCGUCAGUUACAUGUGUCUGGCGAGACUGCCGGUCUUAAACCGGAGGAAGGUGGGGAUGACGUCAAGUCAGCAUGGCCUUUAUAUCUGGG